CCCACUUCUCAAAUCACACGCCCCCUCCCACUUUUCAUCUCCUCCCACACUUGUUCAUCCAUUCUACUCAAGAUCCCAUCAAUUCCCCAAGAGAUUAUUGAAGAACCAAGGUUUUGUUCGCUUUCUACCGAUUGUUUCGUCCAAGAGAGGUGAUAAUUCGUGCGCUAAACGUGAUAUCAAAGGAAAAGCGAUACUUGAAAUCUAAACGGUCGAGGUUGAGCAGCGACGAGCGGUUGGUGGUGUUGAGCAGAAAUAAUAAUAUGGUUAUUUUGAAACUUCGAGUGUCGUUGUGUCUUCACACAUGACUUCACUCUUCUCUUGGAUGCUUCCGCUGUGAUAUUAUCUUUACUUAUAUUUUUAUUUAACUAUGAAACUGUUUGAUUGAAUGUUGAAAUCUCGUACCCUUUUUUUAUAAAUGUCAAACCUUUGGUCUUUGCUUUUAUUUUAAA